rnacentral:rRNA from 1 species
GUCCACGCCCUAAACGAUGAUGACUAGUUGUUGGAGGAGUUAAAUCCUUUAGUAACGCAGCUAACGCGUGAAGUCAUCCGCCUGGGGAGUACGGUCGCAAGAUUAAAACUCAAAGGAAUUGACGGGGCCCGCACAAGCGGUGGAUGAUGUGGUUUAAUUCGAUGCAACGCGAAAACCUUAACCUACCCUUGACAUGUCAGGAACUCUGCAGAAAUGCAGAGGUGCCCGAAAGGGAACCUGAACACAGGUGCUGCAUGGCUGUCGU